rnacentral:rRNA from 1 species
GACAGAGGGUGCAAACGUUGUUCGGAAUUACUGGGCGUAAAGCGCGUGUAGGCUGCUUUGCAAGUCGGAUGUGAAAGCCCCCGGCUCAACUGGGGAGGGUCACGCGAUACUGAUCGACUGGAAGGCAGGAGAGGGUAGUGGAAUUCCCGGUGUAGUGGUGAAAUGCGUAGAUAUCGGGAGGAACACCAGUGGCGAAGGCGACUACCUGGCCUGUUCUUGACGCUGAGGCGCGAAAGCUAGGGGAGCAAACGGG